AGAGUUUGAUCCUGGCUCAGAAUGAACGCUGGCGGCGUGCUUAACACAUGCAAGUCGUGCGCGAAGGUGACUUCGGUCACCGGAGAGCGGCGAACGGGUGAGUAACACGUGGGUAAUCUGCCUCGGAGUGGGGAAUAACUUGGGGAAACUCGGGCUAAUUCCGCAUACGUCGGCGGGGUUUCGGCCCUGUCGAGAAAGCUGGCCUCUACUUGUAAGCUAGCGCUCUUUGAGGAGCCCGCGGCUGAUUAGCUAGUUGGUGAGGUAAUGGCUCACCAAGGCGACGAUCAGUAGCCGGCCUGAGAGGGUGAUCGGCCACACUGGGACUGAGACACGGCCCAGACUCCUACGGGAGGCAGCAGUGGGGAAUAUUGGACAAUGGGCGAAAGCCUGAUCCAGCAACGCCGCGUGGAGGAUGAAGGUCUUCGGAUUGUAAACUCCUGUCAGGUGGGACGAAGGGGCGUCGGUAAAUAAUCGGCGUCUUUGACGGUACCGCCAGAGGAAGCCCCGGCUAACUCCGUGUCAGCAGCCGCGGUAAUACGGAGGGGGCGAGCGUUAUUCGGAAUUAUUGGGCGUAAAGGGCGCGUAGGCGGCUGUGUAAGUCAAAGGUGAAAUCCCUCGGCUCAACUGAGGAACUGCCUUUGAAACUGCUCAGCUUGAGGCCGGGAGGGGGUGGUGGAAUUCCCAGUGUAGCGGUGAAAUGCGUAGAUU
rnacentral:rRNA from 1 species